CUGUUCCCUGUGGGACAGGGACACUGCUCUAUUCCCUGCGGGACAGGGACACUGCUCUAUUCCCUGCGGGACAGGGACACGCUGCUCUGGGGGUCCCCGGGGCUGAGCCGGUGCUGCCCUAGGGAGAGGCACCAACCGGCUCCGGCAGCACCUGGGGCGUGUUCGCCUCCACAGCCUUAAAACACGGGGGUAUUUAGCGUUAUUUAAGCUGGAUUUAGCCACGAGUGAGUCCCAUCGCACGCGGGUGGGACCCAGGCUAUGCUUGGGACCCCCGGAGCAGCUCGGGGCUGGGCUGAGGCUGCAGCGCCCAGCUCUGAGCUCCGGGCUGGGGCUGAGCGCGGCUUUGGUGGCCGGGCUGGGUGUCGGUCAGGGCCACCGGGGAGAGCUGCCCACCGGCACGGAUCAGUGACAGUGACAGCGACAGCUGGGGGACCCUGGGCUGCCCCGGGGUGGACGUGCUGCAACGCUGCCGGGCGGAAUGUCACAGCGGGACAGCCCCAGCUCUGCCCCUGCGCUGCCCCGGCACAGGGAUCCAUCCCUGGCACCCCCUGUCCUGCCCCGGCACAGGGAUCCAUCCCUGGCACCCCCUGCCCCGGCACAGGGCUCCAUCCCUGGCACCCCCUGCCCUGUCCCGGCACAGGGAUCCAUCCCUGGCACCCCCUGUCCUGCCCCGGCACAGGGAUCCAUCCCUGGCACCCCCUGCCCCCCCCCCCCCCCCCCCCCCCCCCCCCCCCCCCCCCCCCCCCCCCCCCCCCCCCCCCCCCCCCCCC
rnacentral:lncRNA from 12 species